ensembl:lncRNA
GGUUUCUUUGCAGCAAUUUGACCAUGAAGACCUGAUUCACACAGUCUCCUCUGAACAGUUGAUGUUUGUUACUUGAACACUGUGAAGCAUUUCUUUGGGCUGCAAUUUCUGAGGCUGAUAACUCCAAUGAACUUAUCCUCUGCAGCAGAGGUAACUCUGGGUCUUCCUUUCCUGUGGCGGAUCUCAUGAGAGACAGUUAACUCUAAUGAACUUAUCCUCUGCAGCAGAGGUAACUCUGGGUCUUCCUUUCCUGUGGCGGAUCUCAUGAGAGACAGUUAACUCUAAUGAACUUAUCCUCUGCAGCAGAGGUAACUCUGGGUCUUCCUUUCCUGUGGCGGAUCUCAUGAGAGACAGUUAACUCUAAUGAACUUAUCCUCUGCAGCAGAGGUAACUCUGGGUCUUCCUUUCCUGUGGCGGUCAUCAUGAGAGACA